GAUGAACGCUAGCGGCAGGCCUAAUACAUGCAAGUCGAACGGGAUUUGGGAGCUUGCUCCCAAUGAGAGUGGCGCACGGGUGCGUAACACGUAUGUAACCUACCUUAAUCAGGGGGAUAGCCUCUCGAAAGAGAGAUUAACACCGCAUAAAAUCACACUAUGGCAUCAUAGAAUGAUCAAAUAUUUAUAGGAUUAAGAUGGGCAUGCGGAACAUUAGCUAGUUGGUAAGGUAACGGCUUACCAAGGCUACGAUGUUUAGGGGAUCUGAGAGGAUGGCCCCCCAAACUGGUACUGAGACACGGACCAGACUCCUACGGGAGGCAGCAGUAAGGAAUAUUGGUCAAUGGGCGGAAGCCUGAACCAGCCAUGCCGCGUGCAGGAAGACGGCCCUACGGGUUGUAAACUGCUUUUGUACCGGAAUAAACCUUUCUACGUGUAGGAAGCUGAAUGUACGGUAAGAAUAAGGAUCGGCUAACUCCGUGCCAGCAGCCGCCGUAA
rnacentral:rRNA from 1 species